CUAGGCUUGGCAUGCCGGCGCAGGUAGUUCAAAGGAUUGGUAGGUGGGACUCGAGACGUUAUGUUUCCUAUGUUCGUCCGGCCGGUUUAUUGACAUGAUUUCUCUCCGCAUUUUUGUUUCCCCCCAGGAUCUGGAUCAUCGGGCACUCCUAUGUUUACUGGGCUGGGCAGCGUGUGGCGGUGCGGCCUGGAGGUGAAAGGUUGGGUUUCACGCCUUCCGAAGCAGAGGUACGAUGGCUCGGGGCAAGGGGUAUGAGGUGGUCCCGGCUCCUACCCGAGUUAGCGCAGUUGUCCCAUCUCCUGG